rnacentral:lncRNA from 1 species
AAUCAAAUUGGCACCAAGCCAAAGGCCAGGCGGAACAACUCUGUCUUACAGGCCCUGUGGAAAUAUAUCAGAUCCUGCAGGGCCCUGGUCUAAUGAGGCAGAGCAUUCCUCCAGGCCGGAGCCAGAGUUGAAAAGGCCCUGGCUCUGGUUGAAGCCAAUCUAACUUCCUUAGGGCCCGGGACCACUAGGGUGUUGCUAUUUAUGGACCUUGAGGCUCUCCGUGGGGCAUACCGGGAGAGGCGGUCCCGUAGGUACGAGGGUCCUAGGCCGUGAAGGGCUUUAAAGGUCAAAAGCAGCACCUUAAAUCUGACCCUGUACUCCACUGGGAGCCAGUGCAGCUGGAAAAGCACUGGGUGAAUAUGCUCCCAUGGCAGAGACCCCGUGAGGAGCCUUGCUGCAGCAUUCUGCACCCGCUGGAGUUUCUGGGACAGCUUCAAGAGCAGCCCCGCGUAGAGCGAAUUACAGUAGUCAAGCCUGGAGAUGACUGUCACAUGGAUCACUGUGGCCAGGUCGGGCGGGAAA